CCCAGCCCCAGCCCCUCCAGUCAAUAUUUUUUAGAGCCCACUAUAUGUUAGACUCUAUACUGGGUACUGGGGAUAUAAAGUUGAAUAAAAUAGUCUCUGUUUUUCAAGGAUCCUAGACUUUAGAAGGGAGAUAGACAGGAAUCUGGCAACUGCAAUUCAGGAUAAGUACCAGGGUAGGAGUAUGCAUAGAAUAUCAUGAGAAGGAGACAGACCUGGGGUGGGCUGGGGAAUCUAGGAAUGUGUCAGCAAAGGAAAGUUGUUAUGACUGAGAUCUGAAGAUUAAGAUGGAGUUUGCCAAGUGCAAGGUGAGAGAGGUGCUGUCUCAUUCUAGUCAUUGAGAAACCAUUCUCUGCUGCUGCUAGAAAUUAUGGGAGUGGGUUUUAUUGGUUGAGUAGAGAGUGGAUUUUCAAGAUGGGGCUGAAGAGGCUGGAGUAAGAAAAGCCUUGAAACUAUGCAGGGAACUGGGAUCUGCUUCAAGGGCAAGAAGGAGCUACUAAUUAUUUUAGAGGAGGGGAGAGAUAGGAUCCAUCUUAGGAAUUUCAUCCUGACUAUAGUAUAGAGAAGAAUGGAUCCAAGGGGACUACUAAGUUCAUCCAGAUGAGAGAUGCUGGUGGUCUUCAUGAGGACAGUGGCAUGGGGAUGAAAAAGGUUGAUAACAUGUAACAUAUUUUUCAGUGUGAGUCUAGAAUAUAUUUUUGUACUCUCAUCCUCCAUUAUUCCCAGUCACCCCCACUUGAACACUAUGCUCCACCUUGCUGGUCUUUAGUAAUGUUAGCUCUUCAGUAGUGUCGGCCAUCUUGGUUUUCUUUUUCUUCUUUUAUUGUCUUCUGUAUUUGGUCCACUCUAGUCUUCUUUCAAGACCCAUCUUCUCUCUAUCUCUCCUGAUUUUCUCAGGGAAUAUUACUGUUCUUUCCUUAAUAUAUCGAUUGAUCUUUACCCUCUCUUCCACUAUUGUCCAGGCCUGGGCUUCUGUUGUAACUCUAGAUCCAUUCUCUCUUCCCUCCCACUUUGCUUGCCUGAAUGAAUCAGAUCAACCCAAAAAGGGUAUCAGUGGAUUCUUGUGAAGCUCUGGCUUCUGGUUGGGUUUGGCCAUUGUCAGGAUAAUGGAGGGACUAAUGAAAGUAAUUUGGGGGAGCUUAUUCCUCUAUCCUGUGGGGUUUCUGGAAUUGUUCCUACAACAAAGGUUACAUUAAUAGAUGUGCUGGUAUUUGUAAAUGAUCCUCUUAGGGGUUGGGGAAGUUCUGAUUUGUAGUGUUUGCCAAUUUCUGAGGUGUAAGUCUUUUAUCAUAACCAAUUUUAAGCUGUCAGUAUGAUGUCACCCAAAGUGGAGCGUGGAGGAGAUGCACAGUGUGCUCUCUCAAGCUGGCCUGAGGCAGCUGCAGCACAACACUCUUCCAUUCUUUCCUUCUAGAUGCUUGUACUGUUUCUUCCCCUAGCUCUUCUGGUCUGUCUGUGCCACACUGUUUUCAGCUCUAGGACACUGCAGUGUUUCCUGUGGUUUUCCUCAAUACUUACACCUUUGUAAAUAGUCCUUUUAUUAGAUCCUUCUCAAAUUAUCCAAUUUGAGGUACCAUAUGUUUCCUGGUGAGAUACUAAUUGUUUCACCAAGCCAUACUAUGAGGAAAUUAGUCAUUUAGAAAUCUUUU
rnacentral:lncRNA from 1 species